rnacentral:rRNA from 1 species
GACGAACGCUGGCGGCGUGCCUAACACAUGCAAGUCGAGCGAAGUUUUCUAGAUGAAAUUUUCGGAUGGAUUCUAGAAUUAUCUUAGCGGCGAACGGGUGAGUAACGCGUGAGAAACCUGCCUUUCACAAUGGGAUAGCCUCUGGAAACGGGGAUUAAUACCGUAUGACAUUAUUUUUUCGCAUGAGAGAAUAAUUAAAGCGUAAAGCGGUGAAAGAUGGUCUCGCGUCCUAUUAGUUAGUUGGUGAGGUAACGGCUCACCAAGACUCCGAUAGGUAGCCGGCCUGAGAGGGUGAACGGCCACACUGGAACUGAGACACGGUCCAGACUCCUACGGGAGGCAGCAGUGGGGAAUAUUGCACAAUGGAGGAAACUCUGAUGCAGCGACGCCGCGUGAAUGAUGAAGGCCUUCGGGUCGUAAAAUUCUGUCCUUGGGGAAGAUAAUGACGGUACCCAAGGAGGAAGCCCCGGCUAACUACGUG